rnacentral:misc_RNA from 1 species
GAUGAAGAACGUAGCGAAAUGCGAUAAGUAGUGUGAAUUGCAGAAUUCAGUGAAUCAUCGAAUCUUUGAACGCACAUUGCGCCCCUUGGUAUUCCAUGGGGCAUGCCUGUUCGAGCGUCAUUUGUACCUUCAAGCUUUGCUUGGUGUUGGGUGUUUGUCCCGAGGGUCUCGCCUUAAAGUAAUUGGCAGCCAGUGUUUGGUUUUGAAGCGCAGCACAAGUCGCGAUUCAAGGCUACACGCCCGCUUCCACAAGCCUUUUUUCACUUUUGACCUCGGAUCAGGUAGGGAUACCCGCUGAACUUAAGCAUAUCAAUAAGCGGAGGA